CCUACGGGAGGCUGCAGUCGAGAAUCAUUCUCAAUGGGGGAAACCCUGAUGCUGCGACGCCGCGUGGGGGAAUGAAGGUCUUCGGAUUGUAAACCCCUGUCAUGUGGGAGCAAAUUAGAAAGAUAGUACCACAAUAGGAAGAGACGGCUAACUCUGUUCCAGCAGCCGCGGUAAUACAGAGGUCUCAAGCGGUGUUCGGAAUCACUGGGCGUAAAGCGUGCGUAGGCUGUUUCGUAAGUCGUGUGUGAAAGGCGCGGGCUCAACCCGCGGACGGCACAUGAUACUGGGAGACUAGAGUAAUGGAGGGGGAAGCGGAAUUCUCGGUGUAGCAGUGAAAUGCGUAGAUAUCGAGAAGAACACUCGUGGCGAAGGCGGGUUACUGGAC
rnacentral:rRNA from 1 species